GCUGGCAUUUCCAUUUGGAUAGCAUUCAAGAGAUUCAACAGAAUUGUGAGGCCCAUUCUCGUGGAGAUCCCAAGCAUUAUAAUCUCAGGGGUAAAAUAGCUUGGCGAAUAGAAGCUCAUUCCAGGUAUCCUGAAGGCCAGGCAAACACCAAUGCACACAAUCAGCAUAGCUGACAGGGUUUGCUAGCUGCUCGGGAGUCAGUGGACUCCAUUGCUUCUUGUAAAUCGAGGUGUGUGCAUCCUUGCGAUAGUUUGAGAGUUGAGUGAUGUUGAGGAACGUAAUGGGGUACUUGGAUUUGCUGAACUCUUCUCCAAUCACCUGCAUAACGCUUUUGCUUUCUGAUCCCCAGUAAUUAGGAUCUUCAAUUAGAGUUGUUUCAUUAUAACAGUUGCCACCAGGUUCACCUCCCCAUUCAGUGCUCCUACCAAAUAUAAAAAUUUCAAAUCGUCAGAGUGGUUUUAAUCAAGCUAAUUGGGCAUUCAAGCACUUGACUCGAUACUG